rnacentral:rRNA from 1 species
GUCGAGCGGACAGAAGGGAGCUUGCUCCCGGAUGUUAGCGGCGGACGGGUGAGUAACACGUGGGUAACCUGCCUGUAAGACUGGGAUAACUCCGGGAAACCGGAGCUAAUACCGGAUAGUUCCUUGAACCGCAUGGUUCAAGGAUGAAAGACGGUUUCGGCUGUCACUUACAGAUGGACCCGCGGCGCAUUAGCUAGUUGGUGAGGUAACGGCUCACCAAGGCGACGAUGCGUAGCCGACCUGAGAGGGUGAUCGGCCACACUGGGACUGAGACACGGCCCAGACUCCUACGGGAGGCAGCAGUAGGGAAUCUUCCGCAAUGGACGAAAGUCUGACGGAGCAACGCCGCGUGAGUGAUGAAGGUUUUCGGAUCGUAAAGCUCUGUUGUUAGGGAAGAACAAGUGCAAGAGUAACUGCUUGCACCUUGACGGUACCUAACCAGAAAGCCACGGCUAACUACGUGCCAGCAGCCGCGGUAAUACGUAGGUGGCAAGCGUUGUCCGGAAUUAUUGGGCGUAAAGGGCUCGCAGGCGGUUUCUUAAGUCUGAUGUGAAAGCCCCCGGCUCAACCGGGGAGGGUCAUUGGAAACUGGGAAACUUGAGUGCAGAAGAGGAGAGUGGAAUUCCACGUGUAGCGGUGAAAUGCGUAGAGAUGUGGAGGAACACCAGUGGCGAAGGCGACUCUCUGGUCUGUAACUGACGCUGANGAGCGAAAGCGUGGGGAGCGAACAGGAUUAGAUACCCUGGUAGUCCACGCCGUAAACGAUGAGUGCUAAGUGUUAGGGGGUUUCCGCCCCUUAGUGCUGCAGCUAACGCAUUAAGCACUCCGCCUGGGGGAGUACGG